GACGAACGCUGGCGGCGUGCUUAACACAUGCAAGUCGAACGGAAAGGCCCUGCUUUUGUGGUGUGCUCGAGUGGCGAACGGGUGAGUAACACGUGAGUAACCUGCCCUUGACUUUGGGAUAACUUCAGGAAACUGGGGCUAAUACCGGAUAGGAUCUCCUGCUGCAUGGUGGGGGUUGGAAAGUUUCGGCGGGUGGGGAUGGACUCGCGGCUUAUCAGCUUGUUGGUGGGGUAGUGGCUUACCAAGGCUUUGACGGGUAGCCGGCCUGAGAGGGUGACCGGCCACAUUGGGACUGAGAUACGGCCCAGACUCCUACGGGAGGCAGCGGUGGGGAAUAUUGCACAAUGGGCGGAAGCCUGAUGCAGCAACGCCGCGUUCGGGAUGACGGCCUUCGGGUUGUAAACCGCUUUCGCCUGUGACGAAGCGUGAGUGACGGUAAUGGGUAAAGAAGCACCGGCUAACUACGUG
rnacentral:rRNA from 1 species